UAAACCGGGAUUAGAUACCCCGCUAUACGGGGGAGUCCCCCAAGGGGGGUAGUAUCGGCUACGGCCCCCAAACCCAAAGAACUUGGCGGCAACCCAUCCUACUAGAGGAGCCUGCCCCGUAACCGAUAUCACCCGUUAACUCCGGCCCCCAGUAUGUCUGUAUACCGCCGUCUAACCCCUAGCUACGAAGGUGGGGUGUCAAGGUCACCACCAAAGACAGGUCGAGGUGCAGCGGAUCUGGGGGGGGUGGUGGGCUACAAUCCCUGUGGGGCGGACCCCCCCCCUACCGGGGGGGGGCAAGAUGGAUUUAGUAGUACCUGGGGGUUAACACCCCCUGGGGAAAUGGGUCUGGGUCGUGUACAUAUCGCCCGUCACUCUCAACAAACUUGAGAU
rnacentral:rRNA from 1 species